AGGUCCCCACACCCUGGCACCUGCAAAGUCCUCCCCACUGAUGUUGCUGCGGACGUUGACGCUGGCGUAGAUGGGUGCCUGCUGGGUCUGCAGUUCCCAGAGAAGACACCAGGUGAAGUGCAUCACGCCUGUUUGGCCAGUGGGCUGGAAUGGCAUUCUUCCUCAAUAGCAGGAAAUAUUCAACGAGAAGGCCCCAGAGGUCAACGAGGGAAGUGCUGUGGCCGCUGCUUUCCCGGAUCCCCAGUUCCUGGGCGUA